rnacentral:lncRNA from 1 species
UUUUAUUUUUUUCGAUUUAUUAAUUUGAUUUAGGGUUGAUAAAAUAACGAUGUUUUUUUAAUAUUUUUUUUUAAUUUACAGGUUGAUGAUAAGGUUAACGACGCAGUCGAGAAAGCGAUGACUCGUCAAAAUGAAUUAGCGAUGUUUCGUCAAAUGACAUUCUUCCAACAAUACAAUAACGCUCUUCUCGCUCAGAAUCCUAACUUGCGCUUACCGAAAUUUCCCUCAAUAUUCAACGACACUACGGCGCAACCGGAUCAAAUGGCCGGGUUCAACUUUAAUUCAUCUAGAGCGUCGACGUCACGAGCACCACCAAUACUACAGCAGACUCCUCCUCAACCAACGAUGCAAGCAGAGGAUCAGACUCCACAAUGUCGCGGAGGACGACCCAUUAUUUUUCCAAGAUCCCAGUUAACAUAGACGCUCGCAUUUAAAAAGAAAAAGAACAAUAACAACAAGCGACAAAAUAGAAAUUAGGAUAGUUAGUGACUCUUUUU